AAUAAACCAAUUUUUCACUUUUUAGCUACAAUGUUUGACGCUUGUCUUAUUCAAAAACUUUUUAUGAUUAAUAUUUUUAUUUUUAUUUGUUGAUAAAUCAUGAAUAGUACAUUACGUUUGACUAAUUUUUUUAAUUUCUUGAAAAUUUUUCAAAUAAGACAAAUGGUUAAACGCUAGACACAUAUGGUCAAAAGUUUACCUUAUU
rnacentral:pre_miRNA from 1 species